AAUAUGAAGGCCGGGUGGCUUCGCGCUGCCGGGCUGAAUUAUUUUUUUCCCCAUGUCUUUUGCGUACUUGUUGUUUCCUGGGCGGGUUCGCCCGCCACCAGGACCAAACCAUAAACCUUUUUCGUGUGCAAUCAGCGUCAGUAAACAACGUAAUUUAUUACAACUUUCAACAACGGAUCUCUUGGUUCUGGCAUCGAUGAAGAACGCAGCGAAAUGCGAUACGUAGUGUGAAUUGCAGAAUUCAGUGAAUCAUCGAAUCUUUGAACGCACAUUGCGCCCUUUGGUAUUCCAAAGGGCAUGCCUGUUCGAGCGUCAUUUGUACCCUCAAGCUUUGCUUGGUGUUGGGCGUUUGUCUCGCGGCUUCUGCCUGGAGACUCGCCUCAAAACGAUUGGCAGCCGGCCUACUGGUUUCGGAGCGCAGCACAUUUUUGCGCUUUUCAACUGGCAGACGGCACUCCAUCAAGUCGAUUUAUUUUUACUUUUGACCUCGGAUCAGGUAGGGAUACCCGCUGAACUUAAGCAUAU
rnacentral:rRNA from 1 species